CCCGGGCUCCCGGGGAGCGCUGCCGACGUCGGCUGGGUCCGGCAGGGCGCCUCCCACCGAGCUCUGCGGUUCCAAAGAGAGGCGUUUUCAGAGGGGUGAUUUUAAGUCUGCUUUUCACUUGCGAGGAAGUGCUAUUAGAAAACGUGUGCUUUGCCUUUACGUCGUCUUCAUUUAUUCCAGCCCGGAAUAUCCCACUCCAGGGCGUGGGCAGGUCCACACCUCUAGCGUCCCCGGAAUAGACCGCCCUAUUUAUUACAAGAUCUCUAGUUGAGAUCCCUAAAUACGAUCCUGCCGGCCAGAGGGUGGGGUCCAUGACGGAUAAGUGGGGAGUAUUCCAGUUCCAUGAAGUAAUAAUGGGUUUAUUGCUGGAGCUGAGCCAGUAUAGGGCCUCCGGUUACAUUUUCUCUACAAAUAUCUGUUGCCCACGCUUAAUGUGAGAGAAAUUCGUACAUGCUAUGCUGGCCAAGAUGUGCAUCAGUCAGGUGGUAAAUAUAUAUUGAGCAGCCACCGUUGCAAGGCUAAGAGCUAGUAACUUAAUUUGGAUCCUCAACUGCCCGAAAUCCAGUGGUGAAAAUAGAAAGGUACUUUUUAAGAGACCAAGAUGUUCUUUCUUAAAUAACGGGUCGUUAAGCAUGAAAGUGAUAACACUGACUUUCUGUAUGAUGGCAAAGCACAUUUAUUUUUCCCACUGAUGUCAUGACAGGCAAGCUCUGUGAGCUGUUUGCGCAGCCUCAACUAUUGCUCGAAAUGGCGGUGGAAAAGAAUGAUGGGGACCAGGGGCAUGGCCUCAGAAAGGCUGGAAUGGGAGUCUAGAUUCCUCCUUGUAAAGCGACGAGGAAAAGAUCUGGUAUUGUCUGGUGGACUUGUGUAGAACCAAUGCCGUAUACUGUAUCUUCUGUAACAUCCGAGGGAGUUCAGAGAAAGCACUGCAUAAUCAAAUACGGUGCUGAGGACAAUUCAAAGAUGAAGAGGACAACUUAGUUCCUGUCUUCCAGGAGCUCACAAUCUGCCAAUGGAGACAAAUAUGGAGUCCUAGUUUGAUGCUUUUUUUCAUUAUACCAUACCCCUCUCUUGGACCUUUUAAGAGUCUGCCCCCUCAAGAAUGUCUUUAUAAUUUAAUCGGUCACUGCAAGCUGGACAUUGCUCCAAGGCAAGCAAAUGCUGCCAUGUCAUUGAAGAUUGGGUCACUGACUGAGAUAUGUAUCCUGAAACACGAAGAUGGAGCAAUGGAGUCAUGAGCCAAGGAAUGUGGGCAACCUCCAGAAGCUGGAAAGGCAACCACAGAAAAUGAAUACAGAGCUCAUGCUUUGGAUUACCAGGCCUUGCUGUCUUGGAUGCCUACAAAAUGAGAGCUUAUGGAAUUACUGAGCCAUCGUAAGGAAAAACAGAGAAACAUGGCUG